rnacentral:lncRNA from 1 species
GGUGUUGCAAUGAAUUAUGAAGUGACCUCUGGGACAGUGGUGAGGAUGCAGCAUGUGGUGCUAGAUUCACUGUGAGGAAAUGGAGCCAGGCUCAGUGUGCCUGGGCUGGAUGCGAACUGUGGUCUGCAUUGCAUCUGCAUGGUCUUGGGCCAGUGUAUGCAGAGGCAUGUGAAUCUCAGUCUUCCUUGCUGCUGGUAUUCCUAGAUGCACAGCGCAAACCCACAUGUGAAGUGUGGUAAAAAUACUGACAACGAAACUGGAAACGUGAGUGAACACUGCUUGGUCUGUAGGA